rnacentral:lncRNA from 1 species
CUGCCGCACCUUCCCAUCACCAAAGUCCCAAAAUUCUGCCCAAAAAUCAUCCCUAGCCGUACCCCCAUCAACCCUAAACCUUUCCCUACCAUUCCCCAUCCAUUCUACACCCUAAAUACCACCCAAAACCUGUUCUAAACUUCUCUGCCGCAACAAGGAGGAAAGGGAAAUCAUUGAUGAUCUUGCUGCCAAGUUGGAGUCUUCUAGGUGUUUUCUUUCUUUGGGUUUUAAUUUCUAAAUUUAUGUAUCUUUGCUUUGCGAGUAUGAGGAACUAA